AUACCUGAUGGCUACACAGUCAAUGGGACACCAGUUGAUACCUCUAGCAGUACCCCAGGCACCAUUAAAAACGUUUAUCUCACUACUGUGCCAGUUACACCAAGUACAAAUCCAGUGACAGUAACCACUCCAGCUGGAAAAGACAAACCUGAAGUCUUCCAAAAGAUUGUGGGCACUGUCGACCCAAGUGAUUCUUCUCUUUAUGAAGUUCCCGUCAAUGGUCCAGUAUCAGCCAUUCUUGUGCCAGCAACUGCUAGUGUAACUGAAAUUGUCAUAUGCCAGCACGAAACAACAGGAACGACUACAAGUGGAACAACAACAACCAGUGCAACAACAACCACAUCCG